rnacentral:rRNA from 1 species
GAUGAACGCUAGCUACAGGCUUAACACAUGCAAGUCGAGGGGAAACGACAUCGAAAGCUUGCUUUUGAUGGGCGUCGACCGGCGCACGGGUGAGUAACGCGUAUCCAACCUGCCCACCACUUGGGGAUAACCUUGCGAAAGUAAGACUAAUACCCAAUGAUAUCUCUAGAAGACAUCUGAAAGAGAUUAAAGAUUUAUCGGUGAUGGAUGGGGAUGCGUCUGAUUAGCUUGUUGGCGGGGUAACGGCCCACCAAGGCGACGAUCAGUAGGGGUUCUGAGAGGAAGGUCCCCCACAUUGGAACUGAGACACGGUCCAAACUCCUACGGGAGGCAGCAGUGAGGAAUAUUGGGUCAAAUGGGCGAGAGCCUGAACCAGCCAAGUAAGCGUGCAGGAUGACGGCCCUAUGGGUUGUAAACUGCUUUUANAAGGAAUAAAGUUAGUCUCGUG